rnacentral:rRNA from 1 species
GAUGAACGCUGGCGGCGUGCCUAAUACAUGCAAGUCGAGCGAACAGACGAGGAGCUUGCUCCUCUGACGUUAGCGGCGGACGGGUGAGUAACACGUGGAUAACCUACCUAUAAGACUGGGAUAACUUCGGGAAACCGGAGCUAAUACCGGAUAAUAUAUUGAACCGCAUGGUUCAAUAGUUAAAGACGGUUUUGCUGUCACUUAUAGAUUGAUCCGCGCCGCAUUAGCUAGUUGGUAAGGUAACGGUUUACCAAGGCAACGAUGCGUAGCCGACCUGAGAGGGUGAUCGGCCACACUGGAACUGAGACACGGUCCAGACUCCUACGGGAGGCAGCAGUAGGGAAUCUUCCGCAAUGGGCGAAAGCUUGACGGAGCAACGCCGCGUGAGUGAUGAAGGUCUUCGGAUCGUAAAACUCUGUUAUUAGGGAAGAACAAAUGUGUAAGUAACUAUGCACGUCUUGACGGUACCUAAUCAGAAAGCCACGGCUAACUACGUG